GUAAAAAAGAUCCGUAUAUUUAACAGUGAAAGACAGUAAAAAUACGACAGGAAAAACCUGUUAACUAUAAAACAGUUUAAAACUGUUGAUUUGAUGUGAAAUUGCCGUAAAUAAAGUAAUGUGGAAAAACCGUAAUAUGUACAUUUUUUCUCUGAAAAAAAUACAUAAACCUACUGUAAAUCACUCUUGCAUAGUUUUUUUAACGGAAGAUUCCAAUAAAGUUUAGAACAGGCAAACACAAUUUUUUUUACAUUUAUUUAUUGAAAAAAAUACAGGUUUUAAUUGCUGAAUGUAAGCAUGGUUGUGCUGGUAAUGGAUACAUGCUGUAAUAUGACUUUGUGAUUUUUGCAUUAAUUUCACAAAAUAAUAAUAAUGGAUUAGAUAGCGGUUUUCAAGAAGCCCAAAGCACUUUACAUUAAAUCCAUUCUUGAUUCAUAGCACAUUUAAUACAGCAUAUUCUUCCUCAAAUUGUAAUAUAACAGGUAUGUCCCAAGAUCUUUAUACUAGAAAUGUAUUAGGGCAAUUUUUGGAUGUAGUUUUUGUAAAGAAUAUGGGAUGUAGCUGUUAAAUCUACAUUCUGUUGAACUCAAUAAACCAUGAGCUUAAAAUGUAAAAGCCAACAACAACUUGAGAGACCUACAGCUAAUGAUAGACAUACUAUAUUAUUGAGUGAAUUCAUAUAAUCCCAAAAGUGUUAAAAUAAUAAUCUGUUGUCUGUUCUAUUUAUCCAUAGUUAAUUAUCAUAUGAAGAAAAAAGAUUUUAAAAGCAUCUCCUCCCAAAACUAGGCGUUUUCCCCUGAAGUUUAGAGCACCAUUUCACAUCAAGGCGCCUGAUUUCAAACGGGCCAAUCAGCGCACUGCAUCAGGCUCCACCGCAGACAACGUCUGUACAGCUCCACACAAGUUUUGCUUUGGACUAAGGCAGCACGCUGUCUUCAUUUUCGUGGACUUGUUUCUCAUUUUAACGUCUGCCACAGCUCGUCUUCAGUUACUACGGGACAGCAUCUUCUGCCAGCAUCUACCAGAGGUCAGUCCAGUGGUUGCUUGCAAGAAGUCAUUGAGAUGAUUUUGACGAGAAGGGAGAGCUUCUGUUCCACUGCGUUGAGAUGACAACCCUUUCAGAAGAUGUUCAGAUGGAGAAAGUGCCACCAACGCCCUUCAUCAUUGUUUGCGGUUCCUCCUGCUUCGCUGCUGAAACAUUCAUGUUGAGCAUUGACAAGAAGAUUGUCAACGACCGCAUCACAACCUUCGCCUCUGCUAUCUGCCUAAUGUUUGGCAGUUACAGUACUACUGCUUUAACAUACACUACCCUGUGGAACUACGAUCAACACUGGAGUUCCUUCAACGGUGUUUCUUUUCCAUAAAUCCUGAGAGAGGCACCAAGGUUGAAUCAAAGAAGAAAAAAGUGUUCUCAGUCAAUCCCAGAGUCCUCACUCUCAUCUCAGACAUUGCUGACCAUGAGUGGAUCUAGUCCUACCCCUCUUGUUUGAGACAAAGUGAUAAAGGUAUACUAUGUUACAUACUCUACAGAUUUUCUGUUUUUGAAACAUUGUUACAAUUCUGAUUGUGAGUGGGAAGUUUUUAACAAUGUGAAGUUUUACUAGACAAAAUUUCUAAAAGUACAUGUUCUACUUUUGAUUCACUGUUUUAUAUAUGAAAAAUGUAUCUGGUAAAAGUGUGGUAAACCUGCGAUUUUGUUUCUUGGAUUUUAAUUUUCCCAGUUUUAAAGAUAUUUGUAUUCCAAUAGUGUAAAAGUAUGCUGCAUGUACAUUGCUGGCAUUUUGUAGUUAUCCAAAAAUUUGCAGUUGAAGUUCUCAAAACAAGUGUAAAGUUUUUGUUUGUUACCUGAUGCAGUUUAAAGAUGUACAUUUUCAGCUUUACUGCUCAGUUCUGUGUGCAAAAUAUGUGGGUGUAAACUUGUUCCUGUAAUUUCUUCAAUUCAGAUUUUCUUUCAAUUAUAGAAAAAAAAUGUUUCAUUCUCUAUAUUUGUAUUUGGAUAAUUUGAAAAGUCAAGAUUCUGUACUGACAUUUAUGUAGUGAGAACAGCACCAAAAACACUUAAAGGUGUCUGAAUUUUCUGCUAAAGGUAAUGUGAAAUAUAAUGUGUGCUCAACUUACAGCACUGGUUUUGCACAAUUUGAACAGAACUUGUAAGAAUUCUGUGAUUCCUCAGUGUUACUGUCAUGGAGAUAACUUAUUUGUGAUUUGUUGAGUAAAAAUGUAAAUGUUUGAUGUUCAAAACAUCAAAGAUUUUAAAUAAAAUACUUUUUUGGAAAUUUAAGGUGGACAUUUUUGUGUUACAUUUAGUAAUUUGAAUAAAAUCAUGGUUUGUGUAAUAAGCUUACAGAGUAGAACACUUAAAAGCACUCUAGUCUA